UAUUUCCCAGAAGGAUAAAUAUAGAUACUUGUUAACAUUUUCAAGCAGGAAGGAAUUAUGUAUCUACGUCCAAGUGAAAUUCGCUUUAGCCAGGAUUCUAUCAAUAACAUAUUCGACAAAAAUUCAUUACAUGCUUAUAGACGAAUCGGUGAAACGCUGGACGCCCUGUUGAAAGGACAGUGUAACAUCUCAGAUAUACCGACUAUAAAGGUGGUCAACAGGAAUGGAGUCUGGUUCACGGUCGAUAACAGGAGACUCUGGGUAUUCAGGAAGCUAGAAGAGCUGGGAAAAUGUACCGAUAUCCCGGUCCGACAAGAUUAUAAUAUUCCUUCAAGAAAAUUAACAACAGUAAACGAAGGGAGGUCAAUAACUGUACGACGUGAUGCAGGGGGCUCGUACUGGAAAACUUAUCCACGUCCCUCUAGCGUGGGAACAUCAACUCAGAGUCAUCACUCUACCAGCUUUGGGGCCAGAAGCAUGCCAACUCAAUUUGAGUUUCAAGGAAAUAGAUCCAUACCUGUACCAUCGGCGAUUCCAAGUUCAUUCCAGAGACAAUUUAUGGGCUCUGAUGUAACAAGAAACAGUCCAGGUUAUAUGCAGCCAGCAGCUGGUCGGUUUAGUUCGACAGGAUUUGCUUCUCCGAUAUACUCUCGCACGACUGCUCCAUCUCCAAGUCUUGCAUCGGUCGAAUUGCUGGACCCAGCAGACGUCCGUUACACCAAAGAAUCCAUCAAGGCUCCUCCUUUUGGUUCUUCCUAUCAGUUCACCAAUCCCAUUCUCGUCUAUCGGGCUUUCGACGAGCAGUGGGCGCUGGACGGUAACCGACGGCUUUGGUCGUACAAGAGUGCGAGGCAAUACGACCCAAGCCUGAGGGUUAAGGCGACAGUAAAGGACGACGAGGAGGAAUUCUUAGAGAAAAUGAGGGCUGACCGACCAUGGCUAACUUUGUUGGACAUUGUACAAAUGGGUGAAACAGUGACAGUUGAGUAACAUGGCACUGAAAACAUUGCAGUUAAACAAUAAGGACAACUUUGUAGAUGUUUAUUUUAAUAAAUCAUAAUUCUUUUUGACGGAGACCAAUUACAAACUUUGCUUGAAAAUGGAUAACAUUUCAUUUGCUAGAGGGAAUGAUUUAUUUGAUAGUUUGUAGACUGGCUACCAGCCCCUAAGUUUUAUGAAAAUUUUCUCAACUACAUUUUACUACUAGCUUAUCUCCCACUAGUUUUCAACUUAGGCAUCCAAGUGAUAAAAGAUAUUAGAGGUAUUUUUUCUUCUAAAUAAUCCAAUAUUCUAGAGACGGGGGCCAGUCUAGAUAGCUUGUAGAAGGGUAUUUUUCAAAGCUUGUGUUACAGAAAGGUAUGUUCAUGUUAUAUGUUAUGAAAAUAAUAAUAAUUGUUUUUAUAGGUCAACUGUCCACAUGUAUACAAGUCUUACCGGGCACUUUAUGUCACUAAGAAUAAUUUAAUCUGAUGCUCUGAUAGGUCAAGUGUCCACAUGUAUACAUGUCUUACCGGGCACUUUAUGUCACUAAGAGUAAUUUAAUCUGAUGCUCUGAUAGGUCAAGUGUCCACAUGUAUACAAGUCUUACCGGGCACUUUAUGUCACUAAGAGUAAUUUAAUCUGAUGCUCUUAUAGGUCAACUGUCCACAUGUAUACAAGUCUUGCCGGGCACUUUAUGUCACUAAGAGUAAUUCAAUCUGAUGCUCUAAUAGGUCAAGUGUCCACAUGUAUACAAGUCUUACCGGGCACGUUAUGUCACUAAGAAUAAUUUAAUCUGAUGCUCUGAUAGGUCAAGUGUCCACAUGUAUACAAGUCUUACAGGGCACUUUAUGUCACUAAGAGUAAUUUAAUCUGAUGCUCUAAUAGGUCAAGUGUCCACAUGUAUACAUGUCUUACAGGGCACUUUAUGUCACUAAGAGUAAUUUAAUCUGAUGCUCU
rnacentral:misc_RNA from 1 species